CUGCCCUCGGGCCUGGCUCGCCCGCGGGCGGAUGGCUCCGGGUCUCUGCUGCUGAGGAUGUGGCUGCCGGGCGGAGGUCGUCCACUCCCCUGGGCCUUUCUCCGCGAGCCCUCCCACGCCGCCCGCUCCUCUCCCGGGGCGAAGGGCGGGGACGAGGCGCGCCGAAGCCCCGAGCUGAAGAGAAGGGUGGGGGCAUGAGGGCGCUGGAGUGAGGAACAGAUUGGAGCCUUCCCACUUCCUCUCCAAUCUCAGCCCCCGGGAGGAGGGGUGAGGCCCUCGAGGGGGCCCGGAGUUAAGGAGGAAUAGACCGUUUCUCUCUCUCCUGUCUCCCCCGCCUCUGCCCGUCUUCCCUCUAAGCCGGCCUCUAGGUGCAGAGGCUGACGUCCAGGAUGGGGACCGGGGAAGCCUCUGGAGGGUAUAUCCGGGAAGGCACCAAGGCUGAAGUGAGAGCGGUUCUGGGGAAGGCUUUAAAAAGCAGAUAUGGACCAGGGUAGAGUUCGUACGCUGUAGCUUUUCAAGAACACCGAUCUCAUUAAUUAAAGAACAGCAACUAUUUAAUUCCAGUUAUAAACUAUUGUUUUCCAGUUAGUCUGGGUAGGUGUGGCCGUUUGUAGAAUAGUUAGAUUACAUUAGUCUAUUGCGUUGGUACAGUUGUCUAUAGCUUGAGCAUAUAAAAACUCCUGAGCCCAGCAGAAAAGUUACUUUCCAAUACCAGUCUCCAUCCUCCGUGCUUUGGAAGUUGCAUCGUUUUCCGGUUUUUCGUACUCAAAGAACACUGUCAAUUAUGACAGCUCUGUGACCUCUGGUUCUCGUAUGUCAUAUGAAAAUGCUAACCAUAGUUUGUAAGCUAACAGAAGAAGCCUGAGGAAGUUCCCGAAUUUAUGAUAUCCUCUUCCCUUUUUUCCAAAGAAAGAUGCAGUCUAGCACCUCAGUUAAGAAUAUGGACUCUAAAGUCAGACUGCCAGGCUUCAAAUUCCAGUUCUGCGACCUCAGCAAAGUUACUUAACCAAGCUCUCAGUGCCUUGUUUUCUUCAUCUGUAAAAUGAGGAUGACGUCACAGCAUUGUUGAGAGAAUUAAUACAGGCUCCAGACUUGUGAAUGGAGAAGUGUUGAGGUGACCCCAGCUCCAGCCACCAGCUGACGACAACCAUACCGGAGAUCCUGAGAGCUGCCUAGCUGACCCCAGGCACCCCCCAGACUUAUUCAGCACUUAGAAGAAUGCCAGGCAGGCUUUCCCCACCAACCAAGAUGGAAUAACAGGGAAAAGACAUACCCUUCUAUCUUCAAUAAUUGGAAACCCAGACAAAGUUUAUGAAACGCUGGUUUUCAAGACAUAGGACAUCAGACAAUCAAGGACAGUAAACACUGAGAUGGGAAACAAACAAGGAAGCCAUGAAAACUUCAAAACUGCUUCACCACCUGGAGACCAAGCACCCUGCAUUAAAAGACAAGCCUUUGGAGUUUUUCUAAAGAAAAAACAUGAACACAGAGAACAGAAGUAAUUAUUGAAGGCCACUACUUCAUUAAGUGUGUCUGUACUGAGAGCAUCGUUCCUAGUGGCUAACCACGUUAUUAGGCUAAGAAGCCCUUUAGUAUUGGUGAAGAGUUGAUCCUGCCUGCUGCUAAGGACAUUUGUCAUGAACUUUUAGGAGAGGCUGCUGUUCAAAAGGUGGCACAUGUUCCUCUUUCAGCUAACACCAUAACUAGAAGAAUGGAUGAAAUAGCAGAGAAUAUUGAGGCACAAUUGUUAGAGAGGAUUAAUGAGUCACCGUGCUACACAAUCCACAAAAGGGUUUUGUCCCAGAAAUAGACUCAUACAUAUAUGAUCAGUGAUUUUCAACAGUGGUACAAAUGCAAGUCAGCGCAGAAAAAAUAAUCUCUUCAACAAAUGGUGCAGGAACAAUUGGAUAUCCAUAAAAUGAACUCGGAUCCACGCUUUGCACCAUAUGCAAAAAUUGACUCAAAAUAGGUAUAGGUCCUAGACCUAAAUGUAACAACCUGAAACUCUAAAAUUUCUCAGGAAAAAAAUGGGAUAAAAUCUUUGUGGUCUUGGAUUAGGCAAAGAUAUUUUCUUGUGUUUGUGGGUAAAGAAACCUUUAAUGAGGGUUCAAGGUGUAAGAGGAGGACCUUGUAGAGAGCCAGCGCUUAGCCCCAGCCUCCUCAUAUGCACAUGGCUCUGUAGAGGUUCUCCAGACAGUGCUGCUGCUGCUGUUUCGAGCCUUAUCUCCUCUGUGCUCCUC
rnacentral:lncRNA from 10 species